rnacentral:piRNA from 1 species
UUGGACUUCUGGUCUCCAGUUCUCGAGCCCA